AAGACUGGAAUGAGCAGGGGCUUUGGGUUCGUCAACUUUGUUCACAGGGAGGACGCCGAGAAGGCCAUCAGCAAGCUCAAUGGGUAUGGUUAUGAUAACCUCAUCCUCCAUGUGGAGAUGGCUGCACCUAGGCCUACUUAGUUACUGCCUACUAAGCAUCCAGAUUUCCUACAAGUGUCGUAUCAUUAUGGUCUCCGAAAUACCCGUACGUUUGUGUCGUGAGCUUGUGUCAUGUUUUGCCUUGUUGAGAAUAACUACACUCUGGUGGUGAAAAAGUGAAUUUCUUAAGGGAUGGCACUUGAGUUUAUAUUUCAUCAAGCUUUGUAUACCUGUUGCUUCAUUUGGUUACUAUACUCCACUUGCUUCUCUUUGCUACCUGGAUGGUCAAGAUCAGUUGAGAAUCUGCCGAUUUCACUAUGCU
rnacentral:lncRNA from 1 species